UCUAAAACAAAAAAAUAAAAUCACAAUGCAAAUCAAUUAGCAUUUAAGUUAAACAGAACACAUAUUUGACCACUUGGAACAACAGUAACCUCUUAUAGGCCUAUGAUUUUUCAAUGAUUGGAUAGCCUAAGUAGGCUAGCCUAUGUUUCCCCUACAUUCAAAGCACUUUUCAAAACUGCCCAACAUGUUCAUGGAUGUAUUUGAAUUAAAGAGAGGGAAAUUAUCUUGCAACAUCUUUCAUAAGGAAAAUUUAAGAGGCCAAGUGAAAUGCAUGUUUAUUAUUUUAUUAGUUCAGAACUAAUUGUUAACUGAACAAAUUUAAAACAAAUAUAUUAUAACUAAUUAAAUAUAGUAAAUGUAUUGAAUAGAGUUACCAUAGACAAAAUAUGAAUAUCAUUAUAAUUAAAUAUUCAUUUCUGCUUAAGUUAACUGGGUGCACGGAGGGAUAGCAAGUGCUCGAGCGCAUGUUUAGGCCUAGGCUACGUCUCUCUUUAUGUUUUUAAGUCUAUGUUCUCUGCAGUCUACUGCAAAAACAGGCAAAAAUACUAAUAAUAAAUAAGCGAGCCUAUGUCUUUAAAAUUAACGAGGCACUUUAAUUAUUUAUUAUAAACUGUUUUCAUCUGCACUGUAAAGUUGAUGCGCCUUUAAUAAAGAGAGGAAUGCAUCUUUCUUAGUUUACAUAAUCAGAUGAUAGCCUAUUUGCUUAUGCUUUUUUUUUUUAAGUGGACAUGUACAUGCUUUAGGCCUAUAUAGCUAUAUUUCCCAUGUAGGCUAUGUUAUGAUAGUGCCUAUACGCUGUUUCUGUUUAUUCACGGGGCGCGCCCUCGUUGUUUUAUUUCAUUUAACCAUUAAACUUAAUUUUGCGCUCUGCACAUACAUACCGGUACGCAAGCCCCGCUCUCCUUAGUUACUGUUGCUACACCACGAUUGGCCAGUGACUGUUUUUGGGCGUGGCUUAGCGGAGGGUCAUUCGUUUCACGUGCGACCAGUUUGAAAACGAAAAAGGCAGCUGCUGACUGAGGCAAUAAAGAGGAUGCAGAAAAGUUGCCGCGUUUUUCAAUGCGUUUAAAACGACAAACAAGCCAAAAUAAUUUGGUGUGCAGUUUUUUGUGCAUUUGCAUCUCGAGUUCAACCAUUGCAUUCGGGUUUUGACAAGGUUUUGGGCUGGAAAACCUUGCUGGCAUCUGGCAACCAUUCCGGAUCGACAUCUGACAUUUCUUCACGACAAACCUUUCUGGCUACUAACCAAAGGGCCUCCAUAGUGCGGAGGGGCAGCUCCAAGGGCUCCGCCAGUGGCCGUCCCACAGACUCCGACUGUCCACACUUGCAGGACUGGCGGAAUUGCCUGAACUCCUCUCGCAGGUCCUUCACCUCCUUGGACAACUCUGUCACUGCACAUACCUUCAGGAGAUGGCCUCUGGAGUAAAUUCAUGGGGGAGAACGCCAAUUCAUCUCCAGGGAACAAUGCUGGGACAUUGGGGCCAUGGUGGCUCUCCUCCUCAGACUGGAUGUCAGUGGUGUCACAGUCUUUAUUCACAUAUCUGUCCAGGCUCCUCACUGCCUCAUCAUGGCUAUCUACAAGCAUAAUCAGUCAAGUACUGUCGGAGUCAGGAGAAAUACUAGUGCUUCCCAAUAAAUUGUGGAAAAGUUCAUUUAUUUCAGGAAUUCAACUUAAAAUGUUAAACUAAUAUAUUAUAUAGACUCAUUGCAUGCCAAGUGACAUAUUUCAAGCAUAUUUCAGAUUCUUAUACCAGAACACCCACCACGAGUUAUGAGGAGCCGGAUAGGUUGAUAUGUGUGCCAUCCCUGUCCAGGCUGUUCUCUGUUCAGGAUGGCUGCAUUCAGCCUAAUAGAGUCCUUAGGAGGGUAUGGGGGCCAGAAGACUUUAUCCCCUUCCACCCAUGUGUUUGGCACAGUUUCUGUUGCACCAUUGCUGAACUGCACAACGCACCAUCUGGACAUUUUUUAAUUUUUUCAAAGACUCUAAAAAAAAAGAAAUGUACUUAUAAACUGAUUUGGACAUUUUAAUUGGUGUGAAUGAUGGGAAUGGCAAUCAACUGUGUUUUGUCAGGAUAAAGUAUGUACUUUUUGCCAAUGUGCUGAAGCCUCGUCACACCGACAUACUUGCACAACCCCCAAACUGUAUAUACCCCAAUGUUUGCCGAAGGAAAGGGAUACUGGCCAUAGGACUCUUUUUUGGUAAACUUUCGAAAAAUUAUGUAAGUCUCCUGACCUACCUUGACAAUGUUUUCAACAAUGGCAAUGUCAUCUACAAUUUGAAAACAAUUAUCCCCAGAACAAGAUGAUAAUGUGUACUUUUCUGUGACAAGCUUACGGUACUGGUCUCCACAACUUAAUGAAGAGAUUAAUGGACCAUCAUAAUGAGGAUGCAUGAAUUUUUGUCCUUUCUUCACUGUGUCCAAGGUCGGAUCAGGUGAUUCUGAGAGCCUUUUAACUACUUGCUGUAAAGGCAAGUGAGGCUUGCGCAAUAGGUGUUUCAGUUGCGCUAAAUAAUUCUCGUAAGGAAAUGCAGAUAUGUUGUCUAAGGGACCAAACAGACGGUAUUCUGAUGCCAAGUGUGUUAGAUGAUGGACAUUGUAGGUGAUUUCACCUUUCCCAUAUAGCUGCCCAAAGUGAGUUACGAAUGAAGUUAACAAUCUCUGAGCGCAAUCUAUCAUUUCCUCUGAUGUUCCAGGAGACACCAGCAGAUGCAUGGCCACAGAAAGUAACAUAAAGUUUUCAUAAAUUUCAAGGGCAAUGGUAUUUUUCAGGACUACUGGGCCAGCAUAAAGCAUGAAAUAUCGAAGCUCUGUAGCCUUCCACCGAUCUAUUUCAGAGAGGUGCCUGGGUUUCCGACUGAACUCAGAAGGAGUGUAGGGUCUUAAGUCCCUUCAAUUUAACGGAAAUCUCUUCAAUUGAUUUACUUGACAACCUAGUUGCCAGUGAUUUGCCCCUCAUCCAAAUAUAUAGGAACUUCCUGGUUACCCCAAGACAGCACAAGUGCAUGUAAUCUAAUGGGAACAUUGUCACCAUUUUGAUCAUACUAGCUAGUGGGGAUAGUGUUUGGUUUUGGUGGUGUUCAUCAUCGGUCAUGGAGUUGAAGUCUGUGUCUGUCCUCAAUCUAACAUUUGUUUCUGGAUAUGUCAUUUUGUUGUGACAUUCACCCACUUGAAAACACUUGUCGCAGCCUGAAUAACCAUUGUGGCUUUUUAUAUUUUUAAUAAAAGCUCAUGCUGGGGCAUCGCAUAUAAAUGAGCACACUUCUGCCAUAAUCUGCUGCCUAUUGUGAACAAUGCCAUUUUUUAGAAUGCCACUCAGGUCCUCAAUAAAUGGACCUAAGAACUCAAAGACACUCUUUGGUUUGGUAAAGCCACAGAAAAGGCCGACAAGGAAUGGCGAUUUUCUGUAAUCAACAUUAAUGGUAGCUAGAAUGGGCCAGAACUGAGUUCUGCUCCUUCGGAAAAGCCGUAAACCAUCUAUACUGAACUGCAGCUUAAUUGUCGUCAAAUUGGCAGGAAGGAUCAAAGAUUUCAGUUUUGACAUCAAUCCAGUAGCUAGGCCAAAGUGAUAAUAGUGAUAAUGCUGGCAGAAGCAGUGAUAAGUUUAUCACAACAUCUUAACCAUCUAUGCUGGCCUAGUUAACCUGAAGAGUCCACUGAUCAGAGUGCCUCGUGAGGUUUAGAGCCUUGCCAACACCUAGUCAUCUUGUUCAUUAAAUACAGAUAAACAAAUACUGCAUUUUAUUUUCUUUUAAUAUAUGAAUAUUUUCAUUGUGAUGUAAUUGUGUGGGCUGCUUUUGUAUUUUACUUUUUAAUACCUGUUAGGAAUAAAAUUGACUUGAUAUUUAA